rnacentral:rRNA from 1 species
GACGAACGCUGGCGGCGUGCUUAACACAUGCAAGUCGAACGAUGAAGCCGGAGCUUGCUCUGGUGAAUUAGUGGCGAACGGGUGAGUAACACGUGAGUAACCUGCCCUUGACUCUGGAAUAACUGCUAGAAAUGGUAGCUAAUACCGGAUACGACCCUCGGCGGCAUCGCCAGGGGGUGGAAAGAAUUUCGGUCAAGGAUGGACUCGCGGCCUAUCAGCUAGUUGGGGGGGUAACGGCUCACCAAGGCGACGACGGGUAGCCGGCCUGAGAGGGUGACCGGCGACACUGGGACUGAGACACGGCCCAGACUCCUACGGGAGGCAGCAGUGGGGAAUAUUGCACAAUGGGCGCAAGCCUGAUGCAGCAACGCCGCGUGAGGGAUGACGGCCUUCGGGUUGUAAACCUCUUUUAGUAGGGAAGAAGCGAAAGUGACGGUACCUGCAGAAAAAGCACCGGCUAACUACGUGCCAGCCGCCGCGGUAA